ACGAACGCUGGCGGCGUGCUUAACCCAUGCAAGUCGAACGGAAAGGCCCUGCUUUUGUGGGGUGCUCGAGUGGCGAACGGGUGAGUAACACGUGAGUAACCUGCCCUUGACUUUGGGAUAACUUCAGGAAACUGGGGCUACUACCGGAUAGGAGCUCCUGCUGCAUGGUGGGGGUUGGAAAGUUUCGGCGGUUGGGGAUGGACUCGCGGCUUAUCAGCUUGUUGGUGGGGUAGUGGCUUACCAAGGCUUUGACGGGUAGCCGGCCUGAGAGGGUGACCGGCCACAUUGGGACUGAGAUACGGCCCAGACUCCUACGGGAGGCAGCAGUGGGGAAUAUUGCACAAUGGGCGGAAGCCUGAUGCAGCAACGCCGCGUGCGGGAUGAAGGCCUUCGGGUUGUAAACCGCUUUAGCAUGUGACGAAGCGUGAGUGACGGUAAUGGGUAAAGAAGCACCGGCUAACUACGCG
rnacentral:rRNA from 1 species